CCAGCCUUAUCCUCAGGUAGCUAAAUAUUCUGUUCCAAAGGUCAGCCAAUGUGCAGACCUGGGUGAUGGUCAGGACAACCCCAGCAACAGGUCCCACCUGGGCUUGUCCCUUACAAGGUGCAGGCAGACACUCCAGGUGUGAGCCAGAGGGCCAGGAGGGGCAGCAGGAUGUAUAAGAACAUUGCGUUAAGAUCAGUGACUCUGAAAGACCCACAUGAGUCAGAGAGGGCAAUACUAUUGGCUAUUAAUUAUGCUAAAGCACUCAAUAAUUAGCAUGAAAGCAUUAGCAAAGAAACAAACACCCACUUACGUAGGAUUCAGAUACAGGAUCUGGAUUCAAACACAUGACUGCAGAAUCAGGAUGUAUAACAAUUAUUACAACGAAGGAGAUCUUGGUGAGACAACCUGGGCCCUAGAAUCCACCAUCUUUGUCUUUGGGAACUCCUUCUGGGCAGCCAUCUGCAGGCCUGAGUGUUGCAGCUAUCAAACUGGACCAGGGAUUCACCCAUCUCACAGAGCUGUUACAGGGAUGGAAACUAACCAGUGUGGGUUUCCUCUGCCUGGACCAUGCCUCUCACAGACAACCAGUCUUGUGGCUCAUUCACGCCCUCACCUCCUUUAGCAAUUGGCUGCAAUAUCUCCUCUCCCAGGCAUUACCUGAUUCCCCUUCUUAAAGUUGCAACUCACUGCCUCUACUCAGUCCUCCCUCCCUGACCCCUCCCUUGCUUAUAUUUGUCGAGGGGACAAUCACUGUCUUGUCAGAGACACAUCGGUAAUUACGAUGUGAAUCAUAAGCUUUAUGGCCUUCUUUUGCACAGGCCCCUUCCAGAAUUUGUUGUAAGUUCUUUGUGCAUUUUAAAUAAAUAUUUCCU
rnacentral:lncRNA from 10 species